AGGACGAACGCUGGCGGCGUGCUUAACACAUGCAAGUCGAGCGGAAAGGCCCUUCGGGGUACUCGAGCGGCGAACGGGUGAGUAACACGUGAGUAAUCUGCCCCUAGCUCUGGGAUAGCUCCGGGAAACCGGGAUUAAUACCAGAUACGACCACUUUAGACAUCUGCCGUGGUGGAAAGAAUUUCGGCUAGGGAUGAGCUCGCGGCCUAUCAGCUUGUUGGUGGGGUAACGGCCUACCAAGGCGACGACGGGUA
rnacentral:rRNA from 1 species